UUGAUCCUGGCUCAGGACGAACGCUGGCGGCACGCUUAACACAUGCAAGUCGAACGAGAGAAGAGAAGCUUGCUUUUCUGAUCUAGUGGCGGACGGGUGAGUAACACGUGAGCAAUCUGCCUUUCAGAGGGGGAUACCGAUUGGAAACGAUCGUUAAUACCGCAUAACAUAAUUGAACCGCAUGAUUUGAUUAUCAAAGAUUUAUCGCUGAAAGAUGAGCUCGCGUCUGAUUAGCUAGUUGGUAAGGUAACGGCUUACCAAGGCGACGAUCAGUAGCCGGACUGAGAGGUUGAUCGGCCACAUUGGGACUGAGACACGGCCCAGACUCCUACGGGAGGCAGCAGUGGGGAAUAUUGCACAAUGGAGGAAACUCUGAUGCAGCGAUGCCGCGUGAGGGAAGAAGGUUUUAGGAUUGUAAACCUCUGUCUUCAGGGACGAAAAAAGACGGUACCUGAGGAGGAAGCUCCGGCUAACUACGUGCCAGCAGCCGCGGUAAUACGUAGGGAGCGAGCGUUGUCCGGAAUUACUGGGUGUAAAGGGAGCGUAGGCGGGAUCGCAAGUCAGAUGUGAAAACUAUGGGCUUAACCCAUAAACUGCAUUUGAAACUGUGGUUCUUGAGUGAAGUAGAGGUAAGCGGAAUUCCUAGUGUAGCGGUGAAAUGCGUAGAUAUUAGGAGGAACAUCAGUGGCGAAGGCGGCUUACUGGGCUUUAACUGACGCUGAGGCUCGAAAGCGUGGGGAGCAAACAGGAUUAGAUACCCUGGUAGUCCACGCCGUAAACGAUGAUUACUAGGUGUGGGGGGACUGACCCCUUCCGUGCCGCAGCAAACGCAAUAAGUAAUCCACCUGGGGAGUACGACCGCAAGGUUGAAACUCAAAGGAAUUGACGGGGGCCCGCACAAGCAGUGGAGUAUGUGGAUUAAUUCGAAGCAACGCGAAGAACCUUACCAGGUCUUGACAUCGUAUGCAUAGCUCAGAGAUGAGUGAAAUCUCUUCGGAGACAUAUAGACAGGUGGUGCAUGGUUGUCGUCAGCUCGUGUCGUGAGAUGUUGGGUUAAGUCCCGCAACGAGCGCAACCCUUACUGUUAGUUGCUACGCAAGAGCACUCUAGCAGGACUGCCGUUGACAAAACGGAGGAAGGUGGGGAUGACGUCAAAUCAUCAUGCCCUUUAUGACCUGGGCCUCACACGUACUACAAUGGCUGUCAACAGAGGGAAGCAAAGCCGCGAGGUGGAGCAAACCCCUAAAAGCAGUCUUAGUUCGGAUUGUAGGCUGCAACCCGCCUACAUGAAGUCGGAAUUGCUAGUAAUCGCAGAUCAGCAUGCUGCGGUGAAUACGUUCCCGGGCGU
rnacentral:rRNA from 1 species